UACAGAGGUCUCAAGCGUUGUUCGGAUUCAUUGGGCGUAAAGGGUGCGUAGGCGGAUCUUUAAGUCAGGGGUGAAAUCCUGGAGCUCAACUCCAGAACUGCCUUUGAUACUGGGGAUCUCGAGUCCGGAAGAGGUGAGUGGAACUCCGAGUGUAGAGGUGAAAUUCGUAGAUAUUCGGAAGAACACCAGUGGCGAAGGCGGCUCACUGGUCCGGUACUGACGCUGAGGUGCGAAAGCGUGGGGAGCAAACAGG
rnacentral:rRNA from 1 species